GACAAGGGUAACGUGUUGACUCUCAGCAUGACUGACUGAAUGAAUUAAAGAUGAUUAAAAAUAUACCGACAUGUCUAGGAACCAUGCAAAGGUAAAAUUGUUCGAAAUUGUGAUUUUUACUUAUUUAAUCUUGACUAAUUUUAUUUUUCAUAUGAAAUUAUAACAUCUUAUUUAAAUGAUAAAUUAUGGGACUUUAAAAUUCAAUUAUUUAUCAGAAAAUAAUAGAAUAUUGAAAAAGCCAGUGAAAAAUGAUAGAUGGGGUAGAAGUAAUGAAAUAUGAAGGUCAAACUUUGAGAUCAUCUUGUUAAUGUUUAGAUCCAGACACCUAAAGGAGUCCUGAGAUGGCAAUUUCAUUGCCUUUGUUUAAAGGAUGGAGUUGUACACCUGUCUCUAUUACAACUUGUCUGUUUCAAGCUGAGAGUUUCUAGCUCUGCCCAGUUCUAAAAUGGUGAAUGCGUCUAUUUUUUUAUUAGACUCAUAAAGGGAUCCAACAAUCUUAUUAUAGAUGUUUUCCUUCAUUUAUCCCUUUUCUAAGUUAUUGUUUGAUUGAGAUAAUUAAAUUUUAAUUAUAUUCUAUAUUGUGCCUGCCAUUUACACACACUGCUUUACUCUAUUUUUAGGUGAACAUGGUAGUUCAUCAAGGGAAGCAAUUUUUACAAUGACCCAAAAUAAGUAAUUUAUUAGAUGAGAACUGAAUAUAUAUAUAAAUGCAUACUAUAAACACGUUUAUAAAAUGGCCAUACAUUAUAAAAUAUUAUAUAGGGAAUAUUUAUACAAAUAUUUCUAUAAUAUCUAUAUAAAUUAUAUAAACAUGAGUGAAACAAAAGUCUUGCAAAUCAAACUUUAUUUUUACUACUAGUAACAUCCUCUGUCAGGGACCUAUAGAAUGUGUAGCGUUCCCAAAUCAGUGUGUUGACAUCAUUCUGGCAGUCUGUUUUCAUAAAAUCAUGUGAAGAAAUACUGAGUCAUCCAGCAAAAGUAAUUCCCUCACAGGCCACCUCCUGGAACCAGGUUCCUGUCAUGUGACCUCAGGAUGAUCCCAUAGGCAUGGGUAUCAGAACUCUUUGGGCAUCUGGUUGACUCUAGAUGGGGUGGAGGGUUGUAGAAUGGAACAUCCCAAGCAGAAGAAAUAGGAAACACGUCCCUGUCCAGCACAGCAGGUGCCAGCUGGUCGGUGGCAUUGUGAGGAAGCCACUCUAGUACAUGGUGGAGAGUAGGGCUGAGAGCACUACCCUACAAUCAAUUCCAUUGCUUUCUUUCACAAUUUAAAAAAUGUCUUGGGGACUCUUAGAUUGACAAUUCCAGAUCUUUGUGUGCCUUAUUUUCUCUAUUGGGAGAGAGAGUUUGAUGAGCCAGUUCUGAGUGAAGUGGCCAUGCCUGCACUAAUCAGCUGUGGAAAGGGGGAAUAAGAAACAGGAUCUUUUGGUCCAGAUAUGACCGUUUCCCUCCCAAACCUCUUGCACAAAAGGGACAAAUUCCAGCAGGCUAAGAUCCUGUGAGUCAGGCAACCCCAUAGAUGGCAUUUAAUGGAGAUAAAAAUAUCCUUAGGAUUUGGGACCUUAGUUUUAAGUAUUUGAAAGGCUGUAGUUCAAGGGACAUUGAUGAGUAAGAAGUGUUAUCUGAUUUUACUGGUGGAGAAUCCAACAAAUAAAAAGUUAAGUGAUUUACUCAGUCAGACCGAGAGUUUGUAAGAGAUACAAAGUUAUCCCACAUCUUCUUCCUCCUGGUCCAUAGCACCAAGUUGCUUAUUCAAUGCAAUGGACUCAGAAACUUACUGGCAUUAAAACUGCUUCCAAAGAAAAAAAAGCAAAGCAAACCCUCUACAUAAUCCUAGUUAAUAAGAUGUUUUCCAAAAAGCUGCAUUCACUGCUGGUGAGGAGGCAUUGCAGGGACUUGUUUGAUCACUCUGGCACUGGUGCUCAUACAAGACCAGCAGUCUGUAAUUUCCAGUGACACUCCUUUUUCUUUUUUAUUAGGCAGAAAAAGCAUUUCCCUUCUUUCAUCUUCAGAGAUUUUUUUUGUGUCCUUUAUAAUUCCUCAAAGUGAUUGAAUAGUGGUUCUAUAGUGACAGCAGUAAAGCAAUUUGUGAUCUUUCAAAAAGAUGCACUGCAAGUAAAAAUUAUCACUCUGUGUUAACCAAGUAACAUAUGACACCUAAUAUAUCUUAUCCUGAUCCUUAUGUCUUUAAAAUGUAGAAAACAUCUUUAUCCUUUUUUUUUUCCAAAGAGCUAGCCAGCUUAUGGCCAGUGGCAUUUUGGGGAGCAUUAACUGCCUUUGGUUGAGGACAUUAGCAGCUCCAUUUCAAGCUUGACAUUAUUCUCUCUGAGUCUAUGGAGGACUCUGAUAUAAAGGUUUUUUGUUUUUUUUUUAAUAAACUAAUAGAAAACAAGACAAAAGCCCUCAGCUUGUCUAAAUCACUUUGAUGACCAUUGUACAUUUGAUGACUACAUGAGAGCUCUGCAAUGAUGAGCAAAGUUUAAAAAGUGCCCAUGUGUGCACAUAUUUGUGAAUGUGCUUCAUAACAGAUGAUUUAAUCCAGGAUAUAGGUCCUUUCAGAAAAAGAAGGGUCCUGUAGAGAUUGAAAGAUAAGGAACUUAGCUAUUGAUCAGGAAGGAAGUUAGCAACUCUGUUUUGUUAGGCAUGUAUAUCUGGUUGUCAUCUGAACUCUCUCAAUUCUGCUUCAGAAGACUUAGUACAGUUUUAUUUUAACUCCCCUCUGAUGCUUAUUCCUAGUACGUUGCUCUCCAUUGAAAUCAUUUCAGAUGUUUCAAUGUUUUUUUUCUAAAACUUCCUGGAUUUAAUGUUACACUUGGUGUCCAAAAAGACAACAAUCUACACAACUGUUACCUUAGUCCCACCCUGCAAAAAACUACUUCUGAAUUUCAAGAAUGAAUUAGAGCUAUCUCCUAAAAUUAUUCUCACAAAUUAAGAUUAUCAAGCAAACAUUUUUCUACCAAGGAAAGGGCCACACAGAUUUGACAUUUUUAGGGAGGAGAGGAGUGAGCUCUGAAUAUGUUCUUAAGACUUUCCCUGCCCAAGAACCUUAGAGGAACCUGCUUGUCCCUUAGAGGAACCUGCUCCUCUUGCCCCUGGAAGGCUUUCCUUGGUGAGACCUGAUAGUUCACUCUGGGGCUGUUAUUUUGCUAGUUCUCUCUGAAAAAGGUCUUUUUUUCCAGGGCUGGGGCAAUGGCUCAGUGGUAGAGCACCUGCCUUGUAUGUGUGAGACACUGGGUUAGAUCCUCAGCGCCACAUAAAAAUAAAUAAAUAAAUAAAAAUAUUCUGUCCAUCUUCAUCUAAAAAAAACAAAAACUCUUUCUAUGUAAAUGGAGCAGAGAAAGAACUAGCAUAUGGAAGAAACCAGAGAGCUUGGCUGAAGUUGGUGGUAAUUAGAUGGGGGAAAAGGACAGUCAGUAUAGAUAAUGAAUGAUUGUGUCAGGAAGAUGAGGGCUGAUUCAAAAGGAAAUAAAAUGCUAAUACCUCCAAAGCACUUCCCCCUCCUCUUACCUGUUUCCAAGGUUAACUGCCCCUAGGGAAUCCUUCCUCCCAUCAAGGAACUAUUAAUGACUAUCCCCUGGAUAGAUCUUUUCUUGCCAUUGGUCACUCCAACUUUUGGUCACAUAAGCAAGAUAAGAGGAGGAAGGGGCAUGAGAAUAAAGGAAAUCUGAAAUCUUUAAAAGGGAGAAUACAUCCCCACUCCCUUGGGCACCAGCUUUGGACCCUCUCUUCUAUGGCGGAAUCUCUCUCUCUCUCUCUCUCUCUCUCUCUCUCUCUCUCUCUCUCUCUUUCCCUCCCUCCCUCCUUCCCUCCCUCCCUCCCUCUUAUCCUUUAAAUAAAACUUUCUUGCCUGGGUGUUUCUCGGAUGUUUAAUGUUCAACACCAGGGACAGAACCCAAUCUUGAUUCUCAAAACCAGUACCCUCUAUGGGGGAUCAUCACCAAAAUUAGUUCCUCUACACACACUCCACACACAUCUUUCUGAGGUGUACCUUUCUAUCUUUCUGGAGGACAAUAAUGGGCACCUGUUGGCUGAUUAAAUGCAGUUAGUGCAAGAUGCCAUUCUACAUGACUUGAGUGAUAGGAUUCAUGGCCUAGGUGGCUCCUAAUCACCUGUCCUAUGGAUCAGGCAUGUUGAGCUCUGCCAAAGCCAUUUCUCACUAUCCUAUCCAAGCACAUCUGGCAUGAGUAUACAGUGUCUCUAAUCCCUGUCUGCCUUUCAAUGUGUGGAGACAGCAAAAACUGUGAGAUACUGGUCUGGGUCACUCCCCAGUGAAUCUUAAAGGUUUCUUCCCCAACUCAUCUCUUGACUGCCCUUAUGGAGUAUCCUGUGGUGACUGGUCAAUCAAGCAGUGCUGAGCAAACACCCCAGUAACACAUGCACCUCUGAAUGAGCCAUACUGCACUCUACUGUGUUCGCUCCUCUGGAGCACCCCAUUCCCCUCCAUGAUCAGACUCUAGGGUUGAAUAUGGAGUGGUUCAUAAGGAAAUGCCUUUGCUCACAUAUUAAGCCUUUACAAGCCUAUAGGGAUUCUCCCCGUUGUUGUUUCUGUGCACCUAUGUACUCUGCUAGCUUCUUUGACUGCAAAUAGGGAGAUUUAUACCCACAGACCUCUGAAGAUUACUUUGGCCCACAGUGAGCAUAAACUCUUUAGUCCAGCCUUUAUCCCUAGUGUUCUUCUGCUACCAACAUGGUCUCAAUUCCAACUCUCUAGAUGAUAGAGAAUCAUGGCCAUCAGAGGGAAAUAUAAAUUUUAAUACCAUUCUAUAGCUCAGUCUGUUCUAUAAAAAGAAGGAAAUAGUCUGAGGUUUCUAUGUGCAGAUCUAUGGACUUCUCACACCUUAAGAAACCCAAAUUGCACCAAAAAAUGUAAAUUAGACUCAGCUAUGAUCCUCCAUUCUAAGUGAGGCCCAAUUUUCCCCCAAAAGUUCAUUAACUAAUAGGAGGCUCAACAUAGACAGAUGAAGAUUCAUUUCAAAAAGGGGUCUUAUGUUUUCCCAGGGAUUACAAGUCACAUGGAAGGAUGGAUAAUCAGGAGGCGUGUAUCUUUUUCAUGGCAAUACAUGAAAAAGCACAUGAGUUAUGAUCACAGUUAUGACCAGAGAGCAUGCAUGGAAGGAGGGGCAGAAACUGCUAGAUACUAGAGGCUCCAGCAUCAGAAGACAUCCCCUCGCGAAAGAGACAGUUCUUCAGUGCAGGAUCCUGUACUCUUUCAUUUGGUUUAUGUUGUUUGUUUUCAUGUUGCUCUUUAGAGGGGCACCUCAUCCUCAAAAGUAAUAGGAGAUAAUGUCUUAUAAUUUUCUGCAUCCAGACCUGGCCAGAUUAUCAACUGGGAAAAUGAAAAAAAAAAAAAGGUUAAAAUGUCCUAUGCAUGAGGUUUUGCUCAAAACAAUGCUUCCCUUUCUAAGCUUCUGCCAGAUCUCUAUCUCUCCAAAGCUUGCAGAGAACUAGUUUGAGACCAAAGGGGGGAAAAAGGUGUCACUUUUAAAUUCAAGCCUCUGUGGAACCUAAUUGGCUGACUACAUUAUCUGUUCUUAAACUCUACCAUCCUUAAAAAAAAAAAAAAAAAAAAUCCUCCCUAAACACUACAUCUAGCAUUUUCAACUGUAGAGGUCUGCCUUAUAUUAAGUCAUAAUGUAAAAAUCUGAUAGGCUCUAUUUUAAUUUCUAGAGGAGAGGUUAAAUCUAAUAAAGGCUUUAAUAAACCUCUGUAGUGUUGCUUCUGACUUGUGGAGAUCUACCUACAAAAAGCUACAAGGUCUCUGUUUCCUGUUUGAUGUAUGCAUGAUACACCUAUGUAUUGUAUCAUUGUCCAUAUAUCAUGUACAUGGUAUCAAGUGGCAUGUGGAUAUGUGAAUGCUCAUAAGUUAAAAUGUAAAUGAAAAAUAUUCAAAUACCUUUUAUCUCACAUGACUUUUAAAAAGUUCAAUUUAAAUUAAAUAAACAAAUGAGAAUUAAAAAGUCUUUAAAUUAUGAACUCAAAAGUUUUUCUAGGUUGUUAGGCAAUUAAUAGAGUGUUGAUUUCUGUAAAAUGUCUAGAAUGUAAUAUCCAUUGCUUCUAGGAUUUUUCUUCAACAGGGAAGAGAUGGUUAGUACUUUUAACUAUACUUGUCUGGUAUCUAGUUUUUUACAGUUAAAAAUGAGUAAAUGAGAUUUAACAUCAGUGGGAUCAAUCAUAAAUGUGUUUGUUACAGGAGACAUAUGAUUAAUUUACAAAGUUAAAGGGCUAAAACAUCGACUACUAAAUAUAAGAUCAAGUACUCUUAUUAAAUUUCAUAAGGUAAUAUGUUAAAACAUAAUAUGUGUUUUUAUAAAUUGAUAAAUGGAAAAAGGUUUAAGAUUGCUUUGUUUCUGUGUCUUCACUAAAAACAAGGUUACUAAGACUUAAGAUUCUAUCAGAUGUAAUUUUAUAUACAAAGAGUACAAAAUAUUUCAGUUGGGUUUCAAUUGAAGUACCGUGAAAAUAAAGUAUUCCAUCUUUUUAAAGUGGAACAAUUUGUCUAAAUUCAGAAAUUUCAUGAAGAUUGCUUCAAAAUAUGAAUUUAAAAACAGGUUAGCAGCUAGGAAAGAGAUAUAAGAAGGUUCUAGGUGUGGAAAUAUGUUUUAGUAUGAAAGUAGAAGGAAAAAUAAAUGUAUCUGGAUGAGAAAGUUGGUGUGGUAUAAAGUAAAAAGUUGUAGAAUUUCUAGUCUAAGUUACAGAAAGUUUGUGGAGAGUUUGUUUCAAAAAGUUUGUGUAUAACUAAAUUUGUUAUAUGUAAGUAGCAUAAUCAGUUAAAGCUAUUCAAGGCUUUUCUUAAAGUCAAACAUUAAUGUACUGAUAUAAACCAAAGUUUAAUGUAUAUGUUGAAGUAACUAGGAUUUCUUUAAACAUUAAUCUUCCCUUAUCUAUCAAGGUAAUAUCUUGUGUUUGUUAAGUUUCAUUAUCUAGAGAAACUAUUCUUAAGGGAAUUAGUAUUUGUAAAAUUAGAAUAUUACACUACAUUACUGAGUCUAAAUGUUUCUUUAAGAGCUAAACUUGGUUAAUAUAAGAACGUCAGUGUAAUCAUGGCACUAGUACUCACUUCUUUGUAUACUAGAAUUAUUCUUAUCUUCGAAGUAUGAAAGUCUUGAAGAUAUAAGGUUUAGAAGAACAUUUUAUCAAGUUUAUGUUCUUCAAACUAAAAUUUAAAGUAAAAGUUUGGGAUUAUAAAAAUCAUGUUUCUUGGUUCAUAGCUAUUAUACAAACUAAAUAUGUUUUUACUCUCAUUAAUUUCAUUUUGUAUUUUGCUUGUAAACUUUAUAACUAUUAUCCGUUGGUGCCUUACAGAGGUACAACUUCUAAUAUAAUAACCUGAGAUAAUAAGAUAUCAUUUAUAGGACAGACAGAUGGUUGUAAGGCUAACUUCCAGUACUAAUACUGACCUAAUUAAAUGGAAGAGGUAAAUAAUUGUAAAAUUAUAGACAUUAAAGCCCAAACCUAGUACUCCUACUUUAAGACAGGUGAAGCUGGCUUGCUGGAUGUUUAAGACAAAAUUGGAGACUAAAGGAGUAAAAGAGCUAAGAAAGAAAAUAGCAACUCAGGGUCACAUGACUUCCACAUCAGGGGGAUUAAUGAGACCCUGGAGAUCAGAAAGCCAACCAUUGCACAUGCUGCAAAGAGAAGGGUCAUGUAGAGGGAGACAUUCCUGAUGUUUUCAAUGGAAGCUACAUGAUCAAGAAGACCCUGAGCCAGCCUGGCAGAUGGCACUAGAGUGGCGAAGAGGCUGCUCAGAAGUUCCUGUGAGGGAAUUCAGCUAAUUCUUAACAAUAGAUAGGAACAAGAUCAAUUUGACCAGCUUGGUCUUAAACAUCUAGCAAAACAAGUUAUAACCAAAGUAUAGCCAUACCUGGGCAUUUAAAAGAACAGAGGAUAGUUCUUUUAAUGUACCUUAAGAUACAUAUGCAAUCUGUACAUGUGGAAAAAUGAGAAUUCAUACCCCAUUUGAAUCAAAUGUAUGAUAUGUCAAGAUCAUUGUAUUGUCAUGAGCAACUAAUAAAAGAAAAAAGAUACAUACUGUGUAAGCCACACAACAAGUAAGACUAGAGAUAUAAAAUAGGAAUUUCUAGACAGGAGUGUCUGAUAGCUCUCAAAAGAGACUAUUAGAAUCAGAAGUUUGUUUUUUUUUUGUUGUUGUUGUUUUUAGCAAAUUCAAGGCCUACAAAUCUUCCUAACAUUCAACAUAAGACAGACUUGAUUUGUUUGCUAGUAUGACUAACUUACCUUAAGUAAAAUAAAGGGAUCUCUACUAAACACAGAGGUUAUGCCAAUAAAAAGGUAUUUUAUAAAAAAAUCAGAUGACAUUAGAUAUCUUAAGUACAUCUAUGGGGACAUCUGUAACAUUAUAAAAACUAAGUGUUGUAUUUAUAUUCUUUAACUCUGGCAAUGUAACUAAUAUCAUUAAAGAUUUAUAUUCCCAAAAUAGAGGCCAUGUCCUCACUGGCCUUGUUAUAGGAACACUUCUUAGCACUUGUAUCACCUGGUGAGAGAUUACUGCUUUCUAUCAUUAUUAUGAUAUUCAUUAACAUGUUCCAGAUGCUAUGACAUGUAUUUUGUUUUAAUCUCAUUACAGUAUUCAUGUCUUUUUGUUUUUUUCAUAGAUGUACCCAUCUCCCAGAUGACUUUACAACCUGUUCUUUCUGAACCAGACUUUUACCAAGGACCCCUCGACUGACCCAAAACAUUCCUAAAAAAGGGAAACCCAAACUGCUUGCCCAACAUCACAGCCCAAAGCAGCCACAGUGGUCAUUGCCCAUUUCCAAUGCUCAUACUCCAAAGCACUUCCCCCUCCUCCUACCUGUUGUUGAAGUUACCUGACUCCAGGGAAUUGUUCCUCCCAGCAAGGGGUUAUUAAUAAAAACCACCUGGAUAGCUCAUUUUCUGUCCUUGGUCACUCCACCUUUUGGUCACAUAGGCAAGAUAAGAGGAGGAGGGGGCAUGAGAAGAAAGGAGAUCUGAAAUGUAUAAAAGGGCGAAGACAACCCCACUCUCUCAGGCACAAGUUUUGGAUCCCCUCCUCUAUGGAAGAAUAUCUCACCCCCGCUUCUAUCCUUUAAAUAAAACUUUUUGCUCUUGCCUGGA
rnacentral:lncRNA from 1 species